AUGCCACCAAAGAAGGUUUCCAAGAGCAAGACCGGCUUCUUCAGGGUGCGGACAAAGCCAUCCGGGAACUUCGGCGCGGAGUUCCAGUGCGAUGGCUAUCGCUACUGGAUCGACACAUUCGACUCCAAUGACGAGGCCUCGUGUGCGUACGACAUCGCUGCGUGGUGUUCCGGUCGGCUGAGGCAUGAGAUGAACUUCCCGAAGAUCGAAACCCGAGCGGACGUGGAGUUCAUCGGGCCGAAGAAUAUGAAGAUUCGACGGAUGGACGAGAAGAAGGAGGAGGAGAAGAAGAAAUCGGCGAUUCUCGUUGCUCCCGACGAUAGUGGCGGCGUGACGAUGAUGUGGUUCCCGUGGGAGCAUCCGGAGUAUGUCCAGGCCAAACACGAGUCCUUUUGGGAAGCGUGGGCCAAGCAGGAGAAGAAGCCGCUGAAGAAGGAGGAGGAGGCCGGCCCCUCGAUGGUGAUCCCCGCCGAGUCUGAUUCGUUGGGCUAG
rnacentral:rRNA from 1 species